CUCUCUUCUUCCGCGAGCUUUCGGUGCAUCCCCUGCUCUCUUCAUCUUCUCGCCGUCAUCUUCAUCUUCUCGCUAUCGUCAGAUCGGCAUCUUCCGUCAUUCAAGGGUCUGUCGGCGUCAUCUUCGAAGAUUUAGUGAAACACCUUUUAGGAGAAGCCUUAAAUCACCUUUAGUGAGGCUCAUUUUAUCUGUGAUUCAUGCGUACCUGUCAAGCCCUACAAGAAGAAGGGAAAAAUCCCUGACAAACAGCAGCAACAACAAUCAGAGAGGGGUGGGGGACUUUUCACCAUGUUUAAGUCCAAGAUUUGACUCCAAAGAACAUUAUGAUUUCAUCUUGGUAAUUAAGUUUCCCUACUUGGCAUUUCUAUUCCACUAUGUUUAGUGGAAGGAUCAUUUAUUCUUAGAAAGCUAAUGUGUAUGCAUUUGCUUGUGUUAAGAGCCUCAUCAUGCUGUUUCUAUUUUCUUUUCCACUGCAUCUAUUCUAUGCAAGAGCAAGAAUGUU